CAAUCCUGGAAUCCAAGAAAACAGCUGAAAAAAAUGGCACCUGCAGCCUCCCGUCCCAAUCAUAGGCCCAUGGGGGAGGCAGGCCACAGCCCGGUAGCUUCCCGAAGCCCCCGGGACCAUGUGCCGGCCUUGGGAGGAGGGCUGCCCCCUACCCCCUGGCCAUGGCUACCCAGGAGGGGGAGUCGUCUCUGUGGAGGGUCACCCCUUCCCACCCUGCUCCAUGUCCAGGUGGUGGGACUCUCUCUGCCGCUGACAACAUCCAUCAUGUUUGGACUCCAGGCCACCAUGGCCCCAGGCCUGGACUCCAGCUCAGAGUGAGCAAGAACAGCUUCCUCCUCCUCUUGUGACUUCGGGCC